rnacentral:pre_miRNA from 7 species
UUUCAGGGUUCCUGGGUGUCACGCAGAUCUCAGUGGGACCUCCAAAUGAAACCCCCACUCAACUCCCAAUUCGGCGUGCACCCAAGAAUCACAAACAGACUG